rnacentral:rRNA from 1 species
AAUGGGUCAGCGACUUAUAUUCUGUAGCAAGGUUAACCGAAUAGGGGAGCCGAAGGGAAACCGAGUCUUAACUGGGCGUUAAGUUGCAGGGUAUAGACCCGAAACCCGGUGAUCUAGCCAUGGGCAGGUUGAAGGUUGGGUAACACUAACUGGAGGACCGAACCGACUAAUGUUGAAAAAUUAGCGGAUGACUUGUGGCUGGGGGUGAAAGGCCAAUCAAACCGGGAGAUAGCUGGUUCUCCCCGAAAGCUAUUUAGGUAGCGCCUCGUGAAUUCAUCUCCGGGGGUAGAGCACUGUUUCGGCAAGGGGGUCAUCCCGACUUACCAACCCGAUGCAAACUGCGAAUACCGGAGAAUGUUAUCACGGGAGACACACGGCGGGUGCUAACGUCCGUCGUGAAGAGGGAAACAACCCAGACCGCCAGCUAAGGUCCCAAAGUCAUGGUUAAGUGGGAAACGAUGUGGGAAGGCCCAGACAGCCAGGAUGUUGGCUUAGAAGCAGCCAUCAUUUAAAGAAAGCGUAAUAGCUCACUGGUCGAGUCGGCCUGCGCGGAAGAUGUAACGGGGCUAAACCAUGCACCGAAGCUGCGGCAGCGACACUAUGUGUUGUUGGGUAGGGGAGCGUUCUGUAAGCCUGCGAAGGUGUGCUGUGAGGCAUGCUGGAGGUAUCAGAAGUGCGAAUGCUGACAUAAGUAACGAUAAAGCGGGUGAAAAGCCCGCUCGCCGGAAGACCAAGGGUUCCUGUCCAACGUUAAUCGGGGCAGGGUGAGUCGACCCCUAAGGCGAGGCCGAAAGGCGUAGUCGAUGGGAAACAGGUUAAUAUUCCUGUACUUGGUGUUACUGCGAAGGGGGGACGGAGAAGGCUAUGUUGGCCGGGCGACGGUUGUCCCGGUUUAAGCGUGUAGGCUGGUUUUCCAGGCAAAUCCGGAAAAUCAAGGCUGAGGCGUGAUGACGAGGCACUACGGUGCUGAAGCAACAAAUGCCCUGCUUCCAGGAAAAGCCUCUAAGCAUCAGGUAACAUCAAAUCGUACCCCAAACCGACACAGGUGGUCAGGUAGAGAAUACCAAGGCGCUUGAGAGAACUCGGGUGAAGGAACUAGGCAAAAUGGUGCCGUAACUUCGGGAGAAGGCACGCUGAUAUGUAGGUGAAGUCCCUCGCGG